rnacentral:vault_RNA from 1 species
GGGUCAGCCUUAGCUCAGCAGCUAUGUCUGCCUUCAGUUGUAGAAACAAAAUAAUUCUCGUGGGUUUUAAUCCUGCAGGUGCUUUCUGGCUUUUUU